CUUCGUUUCUCUUUCUUCAGAUGAUGAUCCCAAGCCUUCUGGCGAUCCACAACAAGUUCUUUAUAGAACUUUAAGAAAAGCAUUUUGCAUUAAAAGAAUGCUUUCAUGUGAUAAUGCCGGGGAAGGUUUUCCGGUUUAUCCCGGAGGGCUUGUAGCUCAGUUGGUUAGAGCGCGCGCUUGAUAAGCGUGAGGUCGGAGGUUCAAGUCCUCCCAGGCCCACCAAUUAUCCAUCGAUAGAAAAGCGCUUAGGAAGCUUGAAAAAAGAGCUUUCUCGUAAAGUUUGAAAAAACUUGUUUAUCGCUUUUUGUAGGAUGUGGCGUUUGUCUGUUUUUAAAGCGGUUGAAACCAAAAGUGUUGCAAAGACAAGAGUCUUGGAGCAGGAAAGAACAUAAGAUCCAGGUGGUGUCACAUGGUCUAGAGUUAAACUGUUCAGGAUUGGAAUAUUCCAUGUUGAAAUGCUGCGAUAUAAAGGUUUCGGAUAAAUUAUUCCGUUUUGGGGCCGUAGCUCAGCUGGGAGAGCACCUGCUUUGCAAGCAGGGGGUCGUCGGUUCGAUCCCGUCCGGCUCCACCAUUUGGUCAUCAUCAUUGUUGUGAGAACAGGUUUUAGUGAGAGGUUGAGUAACCUUUCGCUUGUUCUAUUGAAAUUGUGAAGAGAAG
rnacentral:tRNA from 1 species